rnacentral:rRNA from 1 species
CAGUAGCCACGGUAAUACGUAGGUGGCAAGCGUUGUCCGGAAUUAUUGGGCGUAAAGGGCUCGCAGGUGGUUUAAUAAGUCUGAUGUGAAAGCCCACGGCUCAACCGUGGAGGGUCAUUGGAAACUGUUAAACUUGAGUGCAGGAGAGAAAAGUGGAAUUCCUAGUGUAGCGGUGAAAUGCGUAGAGAUUAGGAGGAACACCAGAGGCGAAGGCGGCUUUUUGGCCUGUAACUGACACUGAGGCGCGAAAGCGUGGGGAGCAAACAGGAUUAGAUACCCCGGUAGUCCCUGUCUCUUAUAA